GAUGAACGCUGGCGGCGUGCCUAAUACAUGCAAGUCGAGCGAAUGGAUUAAGAGCUUGCUCUUAUGAAGUUAGCGGCGAACGGGUGAGUAACACGUGAGCAAUCUGCCCUUGACUCUGGGAUAACUGCGGGAAACUGUAGCUAAUACCGGAUACAAGAUUUGAAGGCAUCUUCAGAUCUGGAAAGAAUUUCGGUCAAGGAUGAGCUCGCGGCCUAUCAGCUAGUUGGUGAGGUAAUGGCUCACCAAGGCGACGACGGGUAGCCGGCCUGAGAGGGUGACCGGACACACUGGACCUGAGACACGGGGCAGACUCCUACGGGAGGCAGCAGUGGGGAAUAUUGGACAAUGGGCGAAAGCCUGAUGCAGCAACGCCGCGUGAGGGAUGAAGGCCUUCGGGUUGUAAACCUCUUUUAGUAGGGAAGAAGCGAAAGUGACGGUACCUACAGAAAAAGCACCGGCUAACUACGUGCCAGCCGCCGCAGUAA
rnacentral:rRNA from 1 species